rnacentral:rRNA from 1 species
GACGAACGCUGGCGGCGUGCUUAACACAUGCAAGUCGAACGGAAAGGCCCUGCUUUUGUGGGGUGCUCGAGUGGCGAACGGGUGAGUAACACGUGAGUAACCUGCCCUUGACUUUGUGAUAACUUCAGGCAACUGGGGCUAAUACCGGAUACGAGCUCCUGCUGCAUGGUGGGGGUUGGAAAGUUUAGGCGGUUGGGGAUGGACUCGGGGCUUAUCAGCUUGUUGGUGGGGUAGUGGCAUAGCAAGGCUUUGACGGGUAGUCGGCCUGGGAGGGUGACCGGCGACAUUGGGACUAAGGUAGGGCCCAGACUCCAACGGGAGGCAGCAGUGGAGAAUAUUGCACAAUGGGCGGAAGCGUGAUGCAGCAACGCCGCGUGCGGAAUGACGGCCUUCGGGGUGUAAACCGCUUUCGGCUGUGACGAAGCGUGAGUGACGGUAAUGGGUAAAGAAGCACCGGCUAACUACGUG